AGAGGUAUAGCUCACACGGUAGAGCACAUGCUUAGCACACAUGAGGUCCUGAGUUCAAUCCCCAGUACCUCCU
rnacentral:tRNA from 1 species